rnacentral:rRNA from 1 species
GCUAGCGGCAGGCCUAACACAUGCAAGUCGAGGGGUAACAGGAAAGUUUGCUUUUGCUGACGACCGGCGCACGGGUGCGUAACGCGUAUGCAACCUACCUCAUACUGGAGGAUAGCCCCUGGAAACGGGGAUUAAUACUCCAUAGUAUCACGAAUUCGCAUGUUUUUGUGAUUAAAGUUUUUCGGUAUGAGAUGGGCAUGCGCCCCAUUAGCUUGUUGGUGAGGUAACGGCUCACCAAGGCAACGAUGGGUAGGGGGCCUGAGAGGGUGGUCCCCCACACUGGUACUGAGACACGGACCAGACUCCUACGGGAGGCAGCAGUGAGGAAUAUUGGUCAAUGGAGGCAACUCUGAACCAGCCAUGCCGCGUGAAGGAUGACGGCCCUAUGGGUUGUAAACUUCUUUUAUAGAGGAAGAAACUUGUCUACGUGUAGACAACUGACGGUACUCUACGAAUAAGGAUCGGCUAACUCCGUGCCAGCAGCCGCGGUAAUACGGAGGAUUCAAGCGUUAUCCGGAUUCAUUGGGUUUAAAGGGUCCGUAGGCGGGUCUUUAAGUCAGUGGUGAAAGCCGACAGCUCAACUGUCGAACUGCCAUUGAUACUGGAGACCUUGAGUACAAAUGAAGUAGGCGGAAUGAGUCAUGUAGCGGUGAAAUGCAUAGAUAUGACUCAGAACACCGAUUGCGAAGGCAGCUUACUAACAUGUAACUGACGCUGAGGGACGAAAGCGUGGGGAGCGAACAGGAUUAGAUACCCUGGUAGUCCACGCCGUAAAC